GACGAACGCUGGCGGCGUGCCUAAUACAUGCAAGUCGAACGCAGUGGGGACGGGUGAGUAACACGUGGGUAACCUCCCAUCAGAGGGGAUAACACUUGGAAACAGGUGCUAAACCGAUACUGAUGGAUGGACCCGCGGUGCAUUAGCUAGUUGGUGAGGUAACGGCUCACCAAGGCCACGAUGCAUAGCCGACCUGGGAGGGUGAUCGACCACACUGGGACUGCGACACGGCCCAGACUCCUCCGGGAGGCAGCAGUGGGGAAUUUUCGGGAAGGGACGAAAGUCUGACCGAGCAAAGCCGAGUGAGUGAAGAGGGUUUUCGGUUCGUAAAACUCUGUUGUUGGAGAAGCGGUAUCUAACCAGAAAGCCACGGCUAACUACGUGCCAGCAGCCGCGGUAAUAC
rnacentral:rRNA from 1 species